AUGCCAAAUUCUUCCUGGACUGAAUUUUGUAAUGCCUUGCAGAGCAGGUUUGGUCGCAACCAGCAUCAGACGCUCCUCAGAAAAUUGUUCCGCAUCGCUCAGGACAGCACUGUGGAGGAUUAUGUUGAACGUUUUGCAGAGCUCUAUGAUCAGUUAACAGCAUAUGAGGAUGCUCCAAACUCUCUCCAUUAUACUACCAGGUUCCUGGAUGGGUUGAAACCCGGAGUUCGGAUAGCUGUUGCAUUACAGAAACCCAAGGACCUUGAUGCAGCUUAUGAACUGGCAUUACUGCAUGAGGAAUUGGGGGAAACUGUCAGCAAUUCAUCAGGUUCAGUGUCUAGGAGAAGUACUACUGUUCCUUCUUAUGGCAACAGCAAGGGCAGACCACCAGAGGAGAAGGACACUGCUAAAAGUACUCCAACUGAUGACAAAUGGUUAGCACUAUGA
rnacentral:rRNA from 1 species